AGCGCGAGUCAUCAGCUCGCGU
rnacentral:rRNA from 5 species